AGAGUUUGAUCCUGGCUCAGAGUGAACGCUGGCGGCGUGCUUAACACAUGCAAGUCGAACGGUAACAGAACUAGCUUGCUAGUUGCUGACGAGUGGCGCACGGGUGAGUAAUAUAUAGUUAAUGUGCCUCGAAGACCGGGAUAGCCAUUGGAAACGAUGAUUAAUACUGGAUAUACCUUCUCUACCUAAGUAGAGUUGGGAAACGUUUUUCGCUUCGAGAUCAGACUAUAUCCCAUCAGCUUGUUGGUAGUGUAAGAGACUACCAAGGCUAUGACGGGUAGCGGGUUUGAGAGGAUGAUCCGCCACACUGGUACUGAGACACGGACCAGACUCCUACGGGAGGCAGCAGUGAGGAAUAUUGCACAAUGGGGGAAACCCUGAUGCAGCAACGCCGCGUGGAGGAUGACGCAUUUCGGUGUGUAAACUCCUUUUAUAUACCAAGAUAAUGACGGUAGUAUAUGAAUAAGCACCGGCUAACUCCGUGCCAGCAGCCGCGGUAAUACGGAGGGUGCAAGCGUUACUCGGAAUCACUGGGCGUAAAGGCCGCGCAGGCGGCCUUUUAAGUUGGAUGUGAAAGCCUACGGCUCAACCGUAGAACCGCAUCCAAAACUAUCAGGCUAGAGUAUGGGAGAGGCAGAUGGAAGUAGGGGUUUAGGGGUAAAAUCCGUAGAGAGCACUAGGAAUACCAAAAGCGAAGGCAAUCUUCUGGAACAUUACUGACGCUGAGGCGCGAAAGCGUGGGGAGCAAACAGGAUUAGAUACCCUGGUAGUCCACGCCCUAAACGAUGAAUGUUAGUCGUCGGGUAGCUAGUCUAUUCGGUGAUGCAGCUAACGCAUUAAACAUUCCGCCUGGGGAGUACGGUCGCAAGAUUAAAACUCAAAGGAAUAGACGGGGACCCGCACAAGUGGUGGAGCAUGUGGUUUAAUUCGAAAAUACGCGAAGAACCUUACCUAGCCUUGACAUAUUUUAGAAUCCUCCAGAGAUGGAAGAGUGCCUUCGGGAGCUAAUUUACAGGUGCUGCACGGCUGUCGUCAGCUCGUGUCGUGAGAUGUUGGGUUAAGUCCCGCAACGAGCGCAACCCUCGCUAAUAGUUAAUAACGAUUCGGUCGAUGACUCUAUUAGGACUGCCUUCGCAAGAAGGAGGAAGGUGAGGACGACGUCAAGUCAUCAUGGCCCUUACGGCUAGGGCAACACACGUGCUACAAUGGGCAGGACAAUGAGAAGCAAUACCGCGAGGUGGAGCAAAUCUAUAAACCUGUUCUCAGUUCGGAUUGUAGUCUGCAACUCGACUACAUGAAGCUGGAAUCACUAGUAAUCGUAGAUCAGCUAUGCUACGGUGAAUACGUUCCCGGGUCUUGUACUCACCGCCCGUCACACCAUGGGAGUUGAUUUCACCCGAAGCGGGGAAGCUAAACUGGCUACCCUCCACGGUGGAAUUAGCGACUGGGGUGAAGUCGUAACAAGGUAACC
rnacentral:rRNA from 1 species